rnacentral:rRNA from 1 species
CAGCAGCCGCGGUAACACGUAGGGUGCAAGCGUUGUCCGGAAUCAUUGGGCGUAAAGCGCGCGUAGGUGGCCAUUUAAGUCCGCUGUGAAAGUCAAAGGCUCAACCUUUGAAAGCCGGUGGAUACUGGAUGGCUAGAGUACGGAAGAGGCGAGUGGAAUUCCCGGUGUAGCGGUGAAAUGCGUAGAGAUCGGGAGGAACAUCAGUGGCGAAGGCGGCCAUCUGGGACAACACUGACGCUGAGGCACGAAAGCGUGGGGAGCAAACAGGAUUAGAUACCCCAGUAGUCCCUGUCUCUUUAUU